GACGAACGCUGGCGGCGUGCUUAACACAUGCAAGUCGAACGGAAAGGCCCUGCUUUUGUGGGGUGCUCGAGUGGCGAACGGGUGAGUAACACGUGAGUAACCUGCCCUUGACUUUGGGAUAACUUCAGGAAACUGGGGCUAAUACCGGAUAGGAGCUCCUGCUGCAUGGUGGUGGUUGGAAAGUUUCGGCGGUUGGGGAUGGACUCGCGGGUUAUCAGCUUGUUGGUGGGGGAGUGGCUUACCAAGGGAUUGACGGGUAGCCGGCCUGAGAGGGUGAACGGCCACAUUGGGACUGAGAUACGGCCCAGACUCCUACGGGAGGCAGCAGUGGGGAAUAUUGCACAAUGGGCGGAAGCGUGAUGCAGCAACGCCGCGUGUGGGAUGACGGCCUUCGGGUUGUAAACCGCUUUAGCCUGUGACGAAGCGUGAGUGACGGUAAUGGGUAAAGAAGCACCGGCUAACUACGUG
rnacentral:rRNA from 1 species